rfam:Triticum urartu cultivar G1812 contig1102524, whole genome shotgun sequence.
AACAUACUCUCUCCGCUCCAAAUUACUUGUCUUGGAUUUAUCCAGAUAUGGAGGUAUCUAGCACUAAAAUGAGUCUAAAUACAUCUGUAUCUAGACAAAUCCAAGACAAGUAAUUCGGAACGGAGGGAGUAGAAG